ACGGAGUAAGUAAAAUAACGU
rnacentral:siRNA from 1 species